AGUGAACGCUGGCGGUAGGCCUAACACAUGCAAGUCGAACGGCAGCACAGUAAGAUCUUGCUCAUACGGGUGGCGAGCGGCGGACGGGUGAGGAAUACAUCGGAAUCUACUUAUUCGUGGGGGAGAACGUAGGGGAACUUACGCUAAUACCGCAUACGAGCUACGGGUGAAAGCGGGGGAUCUUCGGACAGUGGGUGAUUGGAUGAGACGAUGUCGGAUUAGCUAGAUGGCGGGGUAACGGCCCACCAAGGCGACGAUCUGUAGCUGGUCUGAGAGGAUGAUCUGCCACACUGGCUGUGAGACACGGUCGAGACUCCUACGCUAGGCAGCAGUAGGGAAUCUUAGACGAUGGGGGCAAGCCUAAUCCAGCCAUACCGGGUGGGUGAUGAAUGCGUACCGGUCGUAAAGCCGUUAUGUUGGGAAAGAAAAGCAGCACGUUUAUACCCCGCUGUUAUGACGGUACCCAAAGAAUAAGCACCGGCUAACUUCGUG
rnacentral:rRNA from 1 species